GGAUUCAUGACUGGGGUGAAGUCGUAACAAGGUAGCCGUAUCGGAAGGUGCGGCUGGAUCACCUCCUUU
rnacentral:rRNA from 5 species